rnacentral:rRNA from 1 species
UCGAGAAUUUUUGGCAAUGGGGGAAACCCUGACCAAGCGAUGCCGCGUGCGGGAUGAAGGCCUUCGGGUUGUAAACCGCUGUCAGUGGGGAGAAAAGGAUGGUGAGUUCUCUCAUCAUUUUGAUCUAUCCGCAGAGGAAGUGAGGGCUAAGCUCGUGCCAGCAGCCGCGGUAAGACGAGCCUCACAAACGUUAUUCGGAAUUACUGGGCUUAAAGGGUGCGUAGGCGGCGCGGAAAGUUGGGUGUGAAAUCCCUCGGCUCAACCGAGGAACUGCGCCCAAAACUACCGUGCUCGAGGAAGAUAGAGGUGAGCGGAACUUACGGUGGAGCGGUGAAAUGCGUUGAUAUCGUAAGGAACACCCGUGGCGAAAGCGGCUCACUGGGUCUUUUCUGACGCUGAUGCACGAAAGCUAGGGGAGCAAACGGGAUUAGAUACCCGCGUAGUCC